AUUGAACGCUGGCGGCAGGCCUAACACAUGCAAGUCGAGCGGAUGAGUGGAGCUUGCUCCAUGAUUCAGCGGCGGACGGGUGAGUAAUGCCUAGGAAUCUGCCUGGCAGUGGGGGACAACGUUUCGAAAGGAACGCUAAUACCGCAUACGUCCUACGGGAGAAAGCAGGGGACCUUCGGGCCUUGCGCUAUCAGAUGAGCCUAGGUCGGAUUAGCUAGUAGGUGGGGUAAUGGCCCACCUAGGCGACGAUCCGUAACUGGUCUGAGAGGAUGAUCAGUCACAUUGGAACUGAGACACGGUCCAGACUCCUACGGGAGGCAGCAGUGGGGAAUAUUGGACAAUGGGCGAAAGCCUGAUCCAGCCAUGCCGCGUGUGUGAAGAAGGUCUUCGGAUUGUAAAGCACUUUAAGUUGGGAGGAAGGGCAGUAAGUUAAUACCUUGCUGUUUUGACGCUACCAACAGAAUAAGCACCGGCUAACUUCGUGCCAGCAGCCGCGGUAA
rnacentral:rRNA from 1 species